CUAAUCGCUUCAACACAUCCGAUGUGUGUUCCUUGUUGUUGAUGCAGUGUACACACAGAUUUGACAGGUUUCCAAGACUAUCCAGAGCUGAGUUGAUCAACUUAGAACCUGGACUCCUGUUAAAGAAGAGCAAGACAAUUUCAUUACUAUUAAGUGGAGUGGUGUUUGAGAUGCACUAAUUGAAAUUGGGAAGAAUGAAUAUCAACUAGUGCAAGAGAAGCUUUCGAGGAUGGAAACAGUGAUCUUUGUGCUGUACAUGCUUUGGUAUUUCUACUACAUAAAUCUGUAACUAGAAAGAAGGGACACCAGUCCUCUGCAUC